AUAUGAAUCACUUGGAGAUUUUGUUAAAAUGCAAAAUCUUAUUCAGUCAGUCUGGGUGGAGGCUGAGAUGCUGAAUUUCCAACAAGCCUACUAGUGGUGCUGCU
rnacentral:pre_miRNA from 1 species